GCCGCAGCUCAGCCCGCAGAUCACCCAGCCUCUCUCCUAAAGCGGGUGUCGCAGGUUCGAAUCCUGCCGGGGGCA
rnacentral:tRNA from 1 species